rnacentral:misc_RNA from 1 species
AAGUCGUAACAAGGUUUCCGUAGGUGAACCUGCGGAAGCACUGAUCCCAGCGCUCGAUUGGACCGUUAGCUUCCGCAGUCACCCAGUCGAAGGCAGAAGUCUCUGAAUCAAAAGCUGUUCGACAAUGAUUUACCAGAGAUUUCUGAUUGAAAGAGCACGAUAUAUAGUUCACAGGGGGGUUUAACGUUGGAUACGUGUUAAUGAUCCUGGUUUGGUUUCCCCUCAAACCACUUCAAUGAAUGACAUCGUCAUUGAAGUGUGAUGGGGAGGUCGAAUAACGCACGCUAGAGGCCCCCCACGGACCGGUGUCCAAAUCACCGAGCGCAAGCUCCCCUAAAACCACAUGUCAGCGUAGGCCCUUCUGUCGUGGUUGGGCGUAAAAACGAACAACUGUUAACAAUGGAUAUCUUGGUUCUC